UUGUAGCGGUCAGCAUGAAUUCGAUGUUUUUUCCUCCCUCUCUGGAUCUGAAUCUUAAAGUAGUAUUUGUUUUCUUUUUGGAUACCUCUAGCCCUCAGUAUCAUUCAGCACAACUAACAGCUCAAGAAGUGACCUUAUUAGGGAAGCAAUAUUGUUGCCUCUAGCCAAAUUGCUCAAUGUGGCCGAGAUGCAGAGAAAAUGGAAGCUAAACUUCGGAGGGAGUGGUGGUGGUGGUGAGGAAGACUGCUUCGUUUGUAGGUUCUCUGCAAUUUCAAAACCUUAGCCUUCAUAACACACCUGGAGACUAUCUGUCAGAGACACACCACUGGAAGCUCAUGCUUAACUGAUUUAUCCUAGCAGAAUAUCUGGGAGCACAAGAUUAAAUAAGCAAUUCUUGAACCCAAGAAUUUCAUCGCUCUUCUGCACCAAACCAGGCAACAAUGAACAGAUUCCUGAAAAUCUGGGAUGUCCAAUUAAAAUAUACAUGUAUCAGCCAAUGGAUGCUAGGCUUCAGGCCCCUCGGGCAACGUUUCAGCCGUCGAACAGGAGGAAGAGGUAAAAGCCGCAGGCCACCGCGCUGAGGUAGGGAAGGAAGAGCGGAGUCAGGAAAUAGAACUGCUAGAGGUGUCACUCAAUGCUUGUUAUGAAUAAUGAAAAAAUUAAAUA